AAGAAAGAGAGAAGGAAAGGAUGGAAAAAGAAAAGAAGGGAAACAGGAAGACCAUCAAGCAUGUGUGUUUGUCUUCCCGUCUGCGUAUGUUGUCUCCUCUCUUAUAUUUCC
rnacentral:ribozyme from 11 species